AGGAACCGGAUGCGGGAAACCUGCACGUCCGGGUCUGUGAGGGGCGGGGGCGGCGACGCCCCCGCCUACUCGGC
rnacentral:ncRNA from 1 species